rnacentral:lncRNA from 1 species
GCUGGAGUGCCUCAAAGCCGGAGCCUCUUGGCAGAAGCAGAGAGCUCAGCCACCGGCUCCCACCUGCACACUGUCCUAUUCCUUUAAUUAAAAUAUAUGCUUUAUGCCACUGUAUAAGAAGUGGCCUAACUUUUUUCACGGCAAGACUCUAAGUUCACUGAAGAGGCUCAGAGAGUGGACUUAGCGUUCCUUAAGAACUCCAGAUAGGCACAAGCACAGUGGCUCACACCUGUAAUCCCAAGUACUUUGGGAGGCCAAGGCAGGAGGACUGCUUGAGGUCAGGAAUUCAUGACCAGCCUGGGCAACAUAGCAAGACGUCGUCUCCAUAAAAAUAUUAAAAAAAAAAAAAAAGAACUCCAGAUGAAGGCCAUAAUGAUCUCACUCAUGUAAACCUCCACACAUGCUUGAACACGCACAGACCCUGCUGGUGUCAGGUAGACAGCAGAUGUGCUGUCAAUGGAGGUCUGGUCACUACUGAUCAAGGGGAUAUUUUGAAGUUGAGCUUAAACACACACACGCAUACACACAUAUAUACACACACACACAUACACACUACCCGCACUAGGGGCUCACAGGAAACCUGAGCUGGAAUGGGACUUCCCUCGACCCUGAGGAGGCGGCUGAAGCUCUGCUGCUCCUGUGUCUGGCUCACACAUCAGGAGGUGCCGGUGCCUGUAAACACUGCCUUACAUGGAAGUGCACAGGGCCUUGGCACAUUCUUCUGGAAUGUUUUGAGUGUGAAAGAGGCAGUGACUGAGCCAACUGAGGGGCUGAGGAAAAGAUACGCUACGACGUGUUGCCUGUCCUGUUCCGUGAAGCCACUUGGAACCUCCUAUCCUUGGAUAAAGACCCUCUGAACUCGGCAGGAGUGGGGGAGUGUGUACGUGUGCGCAGUCUCUUUCUGCUAACCCGUAGCUCGCCUGCACCGCCACUGAGCUCCGUGUCCUGGCUUCACCGCAGGCCUUCAGUGCCCACUCCCACAACAGCCUCCCGGGGACGGUCCUCGGCAUUCCCGCCACCCCACGAGACACUGGAGCAGGGCCUGUGGGCUUCUUUGCAUCUGCAGUAGUUACCAUAGUCCCUGCACAUGGCUGGCCCUCAGGGGGUGUCUGCUGAAGAGUUAUGAAUACAUUGGCUGAAGCUGAAGCUGUAGUGUCUGGCAGAGCCAGGAGGCCUGAGACAUCUGAAGCCCACGCGUGACCUGUGGGAGGCCCUAGGAGCCCCAGCCCGGGCUCUCACCCGAGGCAUAGCCAGGCAGGGGAAAGCCAGGGGCAUCCAAAUGGGCAGAUAGAUGCCUCCCUCACUGAGCAAUCAGUGGCCAAACUUUUUGAAAAAGUGACUCACCCCUCCCCCAGCCCCUGUAAACAGCCCUCAGUUCCUAACUCCCAAAGCAGGCCUGCUCCAGUGGUCACCUGUAGUGGCCACCGUGUUUGUCUGCCUGGUCUCCAUCUCCCCUGCUUCUGGUCAUUGCAGACUGAUGUUCCUUUGGGUAAUCACUCCCCACUCCCUGCGUAGCUCAAGGGGCGGCCAGCCUGUUCUCACCCCGCUCCCAACCACCCAUUUCUUGCUGCAGGAGACUGGUUCAGGGAUGGGUGCCUCUAUUUGAGCUGGUCUAGUAAGAGUGAAACCUGGACUUGUAUACUCUGAGGAAUAAAGCGGCCUCUUUCAUUCACUUGUUACCUGGAGGAGGAAGGAGGGAGGGGUGAAGGCUCACUCCGGCCAGGUUAAGAUAUUUCAAGAAAAUCAGAUAUCGAGAUUUUCACAUGAAAUCUGAGUUUCAAAUAUCAGCAUCUGCUUCCUAUUACUUUAAAAUACUUCGAGUGCCAGACUAAAAGUGUCUGUGAGCCAGGUUGGGCCCAGAGGCUGCCAGGAGCGCCCUCGGCUCUGUAACAGCGCUACCUUCAGCAUGGCUAUUCAGAGACCCUCCCAAUCCGGCUGCAUUAUGCUUUCCCCAGCUCCGUACUCGGCCCUUCACUCUGGCCACCCAGACAAAGUGGGCCUCUCCCCUUUCUCCAGGUAGUGGUCUCCAAGGCCCAGAGGAAGCCCCCAACCCAGACACCUCCAGGCACCUGGCCCCUGCUGGUCUGUAAGCAACCCAGGCUCAUCAGACCUCAGGGCUUUUGCUUUGCCUGAAUUGUUCUUCCAAAGACCCACAUGCUUCAGUCACUCCCUUCCUGUUUUUGCCCAAAGGUCAGCUUAUCAGGGAGAUCUACCCUAUCCCACCCUUUAAAAAAGAAACCCGCUGGGCGCGGUGGCUUACGCCUGUAAUCCCAGCACUUUGGGAGGCCAAGGCAGGUGGGUCACCCGAGGUCAGGAGAUCAAGACCAGCCUGGCUAACAUGGUGAAACCUCAUUUCUACUAAAAAUACAAAAAAUUAGCCGGCGUGGUGGCGCGUGCCUGUAAUCUCAGCUACUCCGGAGGCUGGGACAGGAGAACUGCUUGAACCCGGGAGGCAGAGGUUGCAGUGAGCCGAGAUUGUGCCACUGCACUCCAGCUUGGGCAACAAGAGCAAAACUCUGUCUCGAAAAAACAAAAACCCUGCCUCAUACGCAGUACUCCCAUCCUCUCUUCCUGAUGUAUUUUUCUCCAUUGAACUUAUUAUCUAAAACAGGGGUCAGCAAACUAUAGUUCACAGGCCCAAUACAGCCUACUGCUUGUUUUUGUAAAUAAAGUUUUAUUGUAACACAGCCAUGCCCAUUUGUUUGUAUAGUGUCUAUGGCUGCUUUCGGCUACGAGCCCAGCUGAAUGGUUGUAGCAGCGACCACUGCCCUGCAAUGCUUCCAAUACCAACCAGUCCUUUAGAGAAAAAGUUUGCUGACCCUUGAUUUAAAAUACUAGAAUGUAGACUCCACGGAGGCAGAGAUUUUGUCAGUUUUGUUCACUGCCUUAUCCUCAACACCAAGUAACACUACCUGGCACUUGAGGGACUCUCAAAUAUCUGCUGAAUAAACAGACAAACCAACCAACCAAGUGAGACGACUCCAUGUCUUUGUGCACGCUGUUUCCUCAGCCCUUCCUCCUCCUCUGCGCAUCCCUCAUGGCUCAGCUCAGAGGUUCUCUCUAACGUGAAGCAUUCCCUGUCCCCUCCAGCUCCCCCACAAGCAAACAGUCCCUUCUUCCUUUAUGCGCCUCUUCUUUUAGCACUUCUAUAUUGAGAUGAUCUUUCUACCUGCUGUUCUCUCCUGCUAGACUAGGAGAGAUCUUGCUUGGAAACAAGAUCUCAUCUUGUGUCAGAAUCACAAAUGCUUGGCACAUCGAGCUCCCAAAUGACUGCUCACUGAACAUGUGGGUAGAUGGAUAAAGGAAUGUACCAAUGUCUGAGACUAAGUGAAUGACCUGGUGUUUUUGGGUCAUACGAUCUACUUCCUAAAGGUGGUGAAGAGAGACAGGUGGCUCAGAGGAUCAAGAGCCACCUCUGCAAAGUGCUCUGAGCUCUUAAAAGCUCUCGAAAAACCGGCUGGGCGCAGUGGCUCAUGCCUGUAAUCCCAGCACUUUGGGAGGCCAAGGUGGGUGGAUCAUAAGGUCAGGAGUUCCAGACCAGUCUGGCCAACAUGGUGAUACCCUGUCUCUACUAAAAAUACAAAAAAUUAGCUGGGCGUGGUGGUGUGCGCCUGUAGUCCCAGCUACUUGGGAGGCUGAGGCAGGAGAAUCGCGUGAACCCGGG